GGACAGGGGAAACACUUCUCAGUCAAAGAACAAAAGCAACAACGGACGGACGGAGGAGGACGAAGUGUCGGCCACUCAAAUUCACAGCUGAAUCUGUCGGAUUGGAGAUUUGAGCCCUCUACGGCAGGAAUCAGCCGACGCCUGAACUCCCACGAAAAGGCGACAAACUUGUGUCGCCUCGCAUCUUUGUAUCCCGACUGUAAUCCGUCGAGUUGCUUGAUAAAUAAGACAAGGGUCAAACAGACAGACAGACGGUAUUGUUUCCCUGGUCUUCCUCAAAACUUCGGCCAUUAAAAGCGGAGUGGCAGAGGGGAAACUGAGGAUUUCUUUUGUUUCCUUUUCGCUCGCCGGGACCUCUGGGGUAAAGGGUUAUUUUGGCAUUUUCGGUUUCUGUUUGACUGUCUGCCUUUGUGAAGAGGCUACACUUAUCUUUUGGGACUGAGAACUUGGAAGUGGAACAAAGCCUGACUGGGAAGGGGUGAGAGACCCUACUUUCAUAUCCCAGAUGGCAACCUACAGUGAACACAAUGGAAGAACUGGACUACUUGUGGGCAUGAAGGAGCCUU